AAAGUACUCCCUCCGUCCGAAAAUACUUGUCAUCAAAAUGGAUAAAGAUACAUGUAUCUAGAACUAAUAUACAUCUAGAUACAUCUCCUUUUAUCAAUUUUGAUGACAAGUAUUUCCGGACGGAGGGAGUAUGAU
rfam:Triticum aestivum genome assembly, contig: Triticum_aestivum_CS42_TGACv1_scaffold_556360_7AL